CCUAUGGACAUGUGUAAGGUCAUUUUCUUGACUGCUAAUCGGCAUAGGAAAACACAGAUUACUGUGAGUUGUGCCAACCCUGGUCAGGUGGACCUGGACUGGAUUAGAAAGGUAGCUGAACAUGAGCCUGGGAGCAAGUGUUCCUCCAUGGAUCUACUUCAGUUCCUGCGUCUUGUUCCUGCCUUGACUACCCUUGAUGACCUGAAAGUGGUAAGCUUAAGUAAACCCUUUCUUCCCCUAAGAUUUUCUUAGUUACAAUAUUUAUCACUGCAACAGAAAACAAGAUGAGGCAACCACACAGUAAGGAGCUAUUCCAAGUGGCUCCAAAGCUCAGUGAGCAGGCUGCAGGUCCUCAUUCUAUACACCAAGAAGAAAAGGAAACAAGGAAAGGAGGAAAAAAUGAAAAACUGAUAAAGGUGAUGUACUGGAUUCCAGAUGCAGGAAGAAGGGUAAAAUGAAGAUGCUCUGAUUUCAGAUUUUCCCAUAAUAGAUGAGAAACAUAACCAAAAGUGUUUUGAUAUGUGUAGUUUGUCCAAGAGUUGGUCAGAGUUCCAGGAAUCUUCAGAGGAAGGUCCAGUAUAAAUUAUUCUCUAUCAGCCUCAAACAUAGUUUGAAGUUGGAUGGCCUUUAGUUAUUCUAAGAGAGGCAAUAAGGGUCAUUAUUUUCUCCUCGUAAUUGGAAGCAGCAGGGAACUGGGAAUGGAGAGAGAAAUUUCAUUCUGGAGAGGAUUUGAUGGAGCUUUGAUAUAUGAUGAGAACAGCCAUUGGCAGAGCUCUGUUCUGCAACAGAAACUCUACUCCUCUUUAUAAUUGUAACCAACAGAUUAUUUGUAACAACUUUUUAAAAAAAUAAUAUAAAAUAAAUAAAGUUCAAUUGGAGAAAACCUUCCUGUUUUGUCACUAGCCAUCUUGAAAGAACACUUAGGUUAUUACGUUGAACCGUUUCGUCCAUGCUGGCCUGUCUUUCCUUCAGUGCGUCCGGUGCCACAGGGACCACACUCAAAGGGUUUAGAAGGUUUCAUUUCUUCGUGUCAGGGUGGGCUUGGCAGAGAAGACAAUCAUGGCAGCAGGAGUGUGUGGUAGACUGUUCACAUCCCGGCAGGAUAAGGAUUCAGCAGACAUUAAUGUGCUUAGUCCUGGUAGGUAUAUCUCUCUCCUUAGGUUUCCAGAACCUCCCAAAAUAGUGUUACCAGCAGAGAGAGGGUCAGGCAUUCAAAAGAAGAGCCCAAGGAGGUCAUUUCAAAUUCAAACCAAACAAUUCCCCAAGAUACACCGAGACUAUUCCAUCUUGGAAACUUGGUCAUUAACUAAAUAACAGGUAGAAAAAUAAAGGAGGGGUCAAAACCAAGAGAAAUUCUGUUUAUUGUUGAAGAUGGUCAUCAGGAGGAGUGGAUGGGCGCACCCAUAAACAAACUCAUCGUCAGGGUGGGACAGCGAUAACUGUUGGAACUGGGACUUCCAAUAACAACAAAGCCCGGAUUCUAUGCCAACCACCAUGGGGCCUUGGGAAGAUCGUAGAGGGACUAGAAAGAUUGGAAGAGCCAGAAGACAGGAAGGAGCACUGUGGGGGCUGUCUUCUGGGUAGCACACGGAAUGCCGCCAGGACAAAUGAUGAAUAUGAGAUACCCUGAGCAUCUUGAGACUCACCAGAGCAAAACAACUCUGAGAGUCAAGAAGCUACACAUCUGGCUGUUGACUCUAGCGUGUGAUGGCAGGGAUAUUAUUCUGAAUGAAACAAGGAGGGACAGAAUACUGGGCUCUGUGCAAGCUUUACUCCUGUCAUUGCUUUUUCCUAUUGCAUUUAAAAUUUGGGGGCCUAAAAGUCAACCCUUGGUUUUGCAUAGCAGGCUGCAAAUGAAGCCUCUUCGAUACAUUAAGGCAUGUGCACAUAUAUGUUGCAUAUUUAUAAUGUUAUUCUAGUCCAUAAAGACUU
rnacentral:lncRNA from 1 species